CCUACGGGAGGCAGCAGUGAGGAAUAUUGGUCAAUGGGCGCGAGCCUGAACCAGCCAAGUAGCGUGAAGGAUGACUGCCCUACGGGUUGUAAACUUCUUUUAUCAAGGAAUAAAGUGAGUCACGUGAGCAUUUUUGUAUGUACCUUAUGAAUAAGGAUCGGCUAAAUCCGUGCCAGCAGCCCCGGUAAUACGGAGGAUCCGAGCGUUAUCCGGAUUUGUUGGGUUUAAAGGGAACGUAGCUGGGUUGAUAAGUCAGGUGUGAAAGUGUGCGGCUCAACCGUAGAAGUGCAAUUGAUACUGGCAGCCUUGAGUACAGUAGAGGUAGGCGGAAUUCGUGGUGUAGCGGUGAAAUGCUUAGAUAGCACGAAGAACUCCGAUUGCGAAGGCAGCUUACUGGCCUGCAACUGACGCUGAGGCUCGAAAGUGUGGGUAUCGAACAGGAUUAGAUACCCCUGUAGUC
rnacentral:rRNA from 1 species